rnacentral:pre_miRNA from 1 species
CGAGGUUGCCCUUUGUAUAUUCGGUUUAUUAACAUAGAAUAUACAAGGGCAAGCUCUCU